rnacentral:tRNA from 1 species
GCCCGGGUGGCGGAACUGGCAGACGCAAGGGACUUAAAAUCCCUCGGCUUUGGCCGUACGGGUUCGAUUCCCGUCCCGGGCA